rnacentral:lncRNA from 10 species
AGGGACGCCCCCACAGGUAGACGAAGAGGGUCCAGAGAAAGGUGGGGAUUCCCUAACCCCUUCUUUCUUGGCACAGACAGGCAGAGAACACCUCUUUUCUCACCCCUGGGCAGCCCCAGGAAGUCAAUCCUUCCACUAUUCCUGCUCCGUGCCUCUCUUCCCUCUGCCCAGAUUCCUGGGAGACUCAAAACCCUGUUCAACUCUCUCUGGGCUAGCUGCUCCCCUCCCCAAGAGGAUUUCUCUCCAGAGCUGGUAUCAUCGCUUAAUGAUGUUCCACCAACAAGGGGAAGGUUUCUUUUCUGGGAGCUGCUAUCACUGAAUACAUAAAGAAAUUGAGCCUAUAUGAUUUCAAUCUUCACCUUCUGAUGCUGAUGAAACAGGAUUCUAUGCAGAGAAAAUCCUCUCCAGUCAAGUAAUUGCAUCCAUUUCAUCUUCCCAGCCCUCCUCUAGAUGGGAGGUGGAGGUGUGUGUACCAAUCUCUUAAUUCAGAAAUGAGACAAGAGGAGGAAAAAGGAGUUCCGGAGACUUUGAGUAAAGCUGAUCACCUUACGUAAUGUGAGUGGGUCUCGUCCAAUCAACUGAAGGCUUUAAGAGCAAAGACAAAGGUUUUUCAAAGAGAAAAAGAAGACUCUCCUCAAGACUGUGACAUAGAAACUCUGCCUGAAUUUCUAGCCUGCUGCCCUGCAGAAUUUAGAGUCAAGCCUACAACAUAACUCUUACCUGAAUUCUCAGGCUGCUGACUUACCCUGCAGAUUUUGGACUUGCCAGCCCCUCACAAUCCCAUGAGCCAAUUCCUUAAAAUAAAUCUCUCUUUUUCCCUCUGUAUAUAUUUAUGUCCUAUUGAUUUUGGUUCUCUGGAGAGCCCUGACUACUACACUGAGUGAAGGGAGGGCUUUGCUAAGUGAUCAUGGUCCCAAGGGCAGCCUCUGAGAGCCCGCUCCUUUUGCAGGAUAUUUGAAGACCAGACCUUGAGUCAAAUUCUGCAGCCAAAUUCAAUGCCCAUAAGACUUUCUGCUCAGAAGACGUCAUGCAAAGGGAAUCCCCAGGGCUCUUUAAAUUAGAUCUUCUGUUUGUGCAGACACGUGAUAAAUGUUUUGGGUACAGCCUGGCUCACACCACAUUUUCCACUUUUUGGGUGGAGUCAGUUUUAAUUGACAAGAAGUGCCUUUACAGGUGGACUUUUUUUUUGGUGGUGGAGGGGAGUAGUUAAAACCGAUGCUUUGCAUUCUGUUGGGCAGCAGAAAGAUUGCUUUUUCAAUAAGCAAGCCUUGGGUUUUUCUGAGCCAGUGGUAUGAGAAAUGCCUCUCCUGAAGGCCACCACGCAAGCGAGUCCCCACAGAAGCAUGCCCGAGCUGUCAGGUGCAGGGAGAAAUAUCUUUAGUAAGAGCCGGUCAUGUAAUGAGACUUCCCCACCACAGCAUAGAUGGGCAGAGGGGUUUCCACAAGGACAAUUCUUAAGAAUCUCUGUAAAAACGCAUGACUCCAUCUGUCUCCUCUCUCUUCUUUGGCUUCAGAUGAGCUGAGCCAUUUAAAAAUUCCCCAACAAGGGACCCCAGGCACCAGAAGAAGUGAUGAACAGAUUUUCAAUUUGGCCCUGAUUUGCAUAAAUUUUUUUUUUCUGGCAG